rnacentral:rRNA from 1 species
AUUGAACGCUGGCGGCAGGCCUAACACACGCAAGUCGAACGGUAACAGGAAGCAGCUUGCUGCUUCGCUGACGAGUGGCGGACGGGUGAGUAAUGUCUGGGAAACUGCCUGAUGGAGGGGGAUAACUACUGGAAACGGUAGCUAAUACCGCAUAACGUCGCAAGACCAAAGAGGGGGACCUUAGGGCCUCUUGCCAUCGGAUGUGCCCAGAUGGGAUUAGCUAGUAGGUGGGGUAACGGCUCACCUAGGCGACGAUCCCUAGCUGGUCUGAGAGGAUGACCAGCCAAACUGGAACUGAGAAACGGUCCAGACUCCUAAGGGAGGCAGCAGUGGGGAAUAUUGCACAAUGGGCGCAAGCCUGAUGCAGCCAUGCCGCGUGUAUGAAGAAGGCCUUCGGGUUGUAAAGUACUUUCAGCGGGGAGGAAGGGAGUAAAGUUAAUACCUUUGCUCAUUGACGUUACCCGCAGAAGAAGCACCGGCUAACUCCGUG